GCCGUCCCCACCGCCGCCGCUGUCCCCGCCGCCACCGCCGUCGCCCCGGCCCCCGCGCCCGCUGUCCCCGCUGCGCCCGCCUGUCCCUGCCGCCGCUGCCGCUGGAGGCCCGGACGCGACGAGCUCAGGACGCCGCUGCCGCCAUGGCCGUCGUCGCGCCGCGAACUGCAUUGUGGGGGGGAGGGCCGGCGGAGGAGGUGAGCGGGGAGGGGGCGGGGCCGGAGGGGGCGGGGCCGACGGGGGCGGGGCCCGGCAGGGGCGGCCCGAGGGCCAGGGCCCGGCGCCAGGGCGCCCCCCAGGGAGGGGGAGGGGAGGGGAGCGGGCGAGAGCCCGGGGGCGCCGAGCGGCGGCGACCCCCUCCUCCCAGAGGAACGCCUCCCCCGGCUGGGACCAAGGAAAGGGCACGCGAACCUCCCCCCCCACUCCAACCCUGGGCGCGAGGACUUCUGUCGGCCCCCCGGAGAGAAAUAGAGAGAUUUUGUGUGUGUAUGUGUGUGUGUGAGGAGUCAGAGACAGAGACAAGAGAGAGAGCGACAGAGAACAAGAAGGAGGAAGGACAGCCCCCCCUCCCCAUGGGCACAGGGACCCCGACCUGGCAAGGACUAGGGAACAGUCUCCCGCCUCCCCAUCCACCUACCGACCGAGACCUAGCCGAGCCGAGCCGGGUCUGGCGAUCCGGCCAAUGCCGCUGCAUCACCCAGUCUCAUACCUUGGCCCGGAGCGCUUGGGGACCACUCUCCAAAGCCUGA
rnacentral:lncRNA from 1 species